GCGGGCGUGGCGGAACUGGCAGACGCGCCGGGUUUAGGACCCGGUCCCUUCGGGGGUGGAGGUUCGAACCCUCUCGCCCGCA
rnacentral:tRNA from 1 species